rnacentral:rRNA from 1 species
CGUCGGAAUCUGGGAGGACCAUCUCCCAACCCUAAAUACUCUCUAGUGACCGAUAGUGAACCAGUACCGUGAGGGAAAGGUGAAAAGCACCCCGGGAGGGGAGUGAAAUAGAACCUGAAACCGUGUGCCUACAACAAGUUCGAGCCCGUUAAUGGGUGAGAGCGUGCCUUUUGUAGAAUGAACCGGCGAGUUACGAUAUGAUGCGAGGUUAAGUUGAAGAGACGGAGCCGUAGGGAAACCGAGUCUUAAUAGGGCGUAUUAGUAUCAUGUCGUAGACCCGAAACCAUGUGACCUACCCAUGAGCAGGUUGAAGGUGAGGUAAAACUCACUGGAGGACCGAACCAGGGCACGUUGAAAAGUGCUUGGAUGACUUGUGGGUAGCGGAGAAAUUCCAAACGAACUUGGAGAUAGCUGGUUCUCUCCGAAAUAGCUUUAGGGCUAGCGUCGAUGUUAAGUCUCUUGGAGGUAGAGCACUGUUUGGGUGAGGGGUCCAUCCCGGAUUACCAAUCUCAGAUAAACUCCGAAUGCCAACGAGAUAUAAUCGGCAGUCAGACUGCGAGUGCUAAGAUCCGUAGUCGAAAGGGAAACAGCCCAGACCACCAGCUAAGGUCCCAAAAUAUAUGUUAAGUGGAAAAGGAUGUGGGGUUGCACAGACAACUAGGAUGUUAGCUUAGAAGCAGCUAUUCAUUCAAAGAGUGCGUAAUAGCUCACUAGUCGAGUGACCCUGCGCCGAAAAUGUACCGGGGCUAAAACAUAUUACCGAAGCUGUGGAUACCUUUAUAGGUAUGGUAGGAGAGCGUUCUAUGUGCGAAGAAGGUGUACCGUGAGGAGUGCUGGAGCGCAUAGAAGUGAGAAUGCCGGUAUGAGUAGCGAAAGACAGGUGAGAAUCCUGUCCACCGUAAGACUAAGGUUUCCAGGGGAAGGCUCGUCCGCCCUGGGUUAGUCGGGACCUAAGGAGAGACCGAAAGGUGUAUCCGAUGGACAACAGGUUGAUAUUCCUGUACUAGAGUAUAUAGUGAUGGAGGGACGCAGUAGGCUAACUAAACCAGACGAUUGGAAGUGUCUGGCCAAGCAGUGAGGUGUGAUAUGAGUCAAAUGCUUAUAUCUAUAACAUUGAGCUGUGAUGGGGAGCGAAGUUUAGUAGCGAAGUUAGUGAUGUCACACUGCCGAGAAAAGCUUCUAGCGUUAAUUAUACUCUACCCGUACCGCAAACCGACACAGGUAGUCGAGGCGAGUAGCCUCAGGUGAGCGAGAGAACUCUCGUUAAGGAACUCGGCAAAAUGGCCCCGUAACUUCGGGAGAAGGGGCGCUGACUUAUGGUCAGCCGCAGUGAAUAGGCCCAAGCAACUGUUUAUCAAAAACACAGCUCUCUGCUAAAUCGUAAGAUGAUGUAUAGGGGGUGACGCCUGCCCGGUGCUGGAAGGUUAAGAGGAGUGCUUAGCAAUAGCGAAGGUAUGAAUUGAAGCCCCAGUAAACGGCGGCCGUAACUAUAACGGUCCUAAGGUAGCGAAAUUCCUUGUCGGGUAAGUUCCGACCCGCACGAAAGGCGUAAUGAUUUGGGCACUGUCUCAACGAGAGACUCGGUGAAAUUUUAGUACCUGUGAAGAUGCAGGUUACCCGCGACAGGACGGAAAGACCCCAUGGAGCUUUACUGCAGUUUGAUAUUGAGUAUCUGUACCACAUGUACAGGAUAGGUAGGAGCCUAUGACCUCGGGACGCCAGUUUCGAGUGAGGCGUUGUUGGGAUACUACCCUUGUGUUAUGGCUACUCUAACCCAGAUAGGUUAUCCCUAUCGGAGACAGUGUCUGACGGGCAGUUUGACUGGGGCGGUCGCCUCCUAAAAGGUAACGGAGGCGCCCAAAGGUUCCCUCAGAAUGGUUGGAAAUCAUUCGCAGAGUGUAAAGGUAUAAGGGAGCUUGACUGCGAGAGCUACAACUCGAGCAGGGACGAAAGUCGGGCUUAGUGAUCCGGUGGUUCCGCAUGGAAGGGCCAUCGCUCAACGGAUAAAAGCUACCCUGGGGAUAACAGGCUUAUCUCCCCCAAGAGUUCACAUCGACGGGGAGGUUUGGCACCUCGAUGUCGGCUCGUCGCAUCCUGGGGCUGUAGUCGGUCCCAAGGGUUGGGCUGUUCGCCCAUUAAAGCGGCACGCGAGCUGGGUUCAGAACGUCGUGAGACAGUUCGGUCCCUAUCCGUCGCGGGCGUAGGAAAUUUGAGAGGAUCUGCUCCUAGUACGAGAGGACCAGAGUGGACUUACCGCUGGUGUACCAGUUGU